UUCAUGGAGAGUUUGAUCCUGGCUCAGGACGAACGCUGGCGGCGUGCCUAAUACAUGCAAGUCGAGCGGACCGACGGGAGCUUGCUCCCUUAGGUCAGCGGCGGACGGGUGAGUAACACGUGGGUAACCUGCCUGUAAGACUGGGAUAACUCCGGGAAACCGGGGCUAAUACCGGAUGCUUGA
rnacentral:rRNA from 1 species